CCCAGUAUGGAAAACAUCUGACAUCUGUGGUACUUCAAAACAGAAGACUGAAAACUGAAAAUAAUCUUGUAAAUCCAAUAUUAUCCAUAAAAGGCAAUUUAUAAAAAUACCAUGUUUAAAAACCUACUUACAGACCCCAUGGCAGUCUUGUCAUUAUUCAUUCCAGGCCCUUUUGUUUUUUAGGUUGGACCUCAUGUAGGAAAUCUAGCAUCAGAUCCAUUAAACCUUGGAGCCGGAGUUUGUGAUCAGAACUAAGGGGGGUGAUGUAGGUCUGACUUGAUAAAUAGAUGUAAAGAUUGAAGAAUCUCUCUUGUUUUUACAGGUUGAACUCUGGUUUUGCAAUUGUUCUGCCACAGGAUAUUCACUCUUAGCAGGUGAUUAUACUUAUUAUACUAGUUUUGGAGAUGUUAUUUUUCAGGGCCUAGGCUGCCAGAUGGAUAGCUUGGUUGGUACACUUGAUUAAGAAUAAAGAUUUGGAGUAUACUGAUUUUACACAUGCUUUAAUGUGUUCUUGAAGCCUGUUUUAUAAUAAAGAUUUUGAUUCUGUUCACUUCAGCUAUUAAGCUGUUUUGUUUUUACAGGUUUGGGAAAUGUCUGCUGUGGAACUUUAGCCCUGGCAGGUUAUUUGGGAUUUUGUAUCUUUUGGUAGGUAUGAACAGGUGGACCAAUUCAUCACAGUGUUUUCAUUCAACAGCUUGCAUCUUUGUUUUCCACAUCCAAUCCAAUGUAGAAAGUCUACAAGCAGAUGCAGGUAACCUUGCUCUGCCGAAGCUUGUAAUUGGUAUGUAAGUAGUGGUAUAGAUCUGGAUGGAUAAGAGAAAACUCUGCCCACUGUGGAGCUUCACUAUUGGCAGCUUACUUAGGAUCAUGUUUACUUUGGUAAGUAUGAGUAGAUGGUGGUAUUUGAUUUCCUUUUGUCAUUCUUUAGCCUAGGCAUCUUUGUUGGGCUUUGGUAUAGGAAGUCUAGAAGCAGAUGCAGGUAACUUUGGACUUCUAGAGUAGAGGAACAGACUGCACUGCUUUUGAGGGGUUCCUAUAACCUGGGGCAUCUGUCUUUAUGCUGCCCCCUUCAUGUCUCUGUGUUUACAUCUUUGCAGUUGGAGUGGGUCAAGAAGGACGCAUUGCCUCACCUUGCCUCAUGGCAGAAGUGGCCCUGUAAAGACUUGCAUGGAUAAGUAGAGAGAUUUUCCAGCUUAAGCAUCAAUUUAUUUUUACAGGUUUUCAUGGUUUGGCAAAUAUUGCUAUGAUACUUUUGACUUGGUAGGUUACAUCCCGUUUCUUUUGGUAGGUAUGAAUGGAUGGCUAAAAUCCAAUAUGGUAGUAUUCUUUAACCCAGGCAUCUUUGUUUUACAGGUUGAGUCUGGUGUAGGAAAAGUCUAAGGACAGAUGCAGGUAAACUUGGACUGCUGGAGCUUGUUAUCAAUAUCCAUGAAAAGAAAUUGGACUGUUGGUGGCAGGAGACAGAUUCUGUAGCCUGGCAUGUUUGUUCUUACAGGUUUUCCUAGUUUGCAAAACAUCUAGCCUCUGGCUAUCCACUUAUACCUACCAAAAGAAACAGGAUCUGAAGCAAUUUAAUCAUAAUGCUGUCAUUCUUCAUCUUCUAUCUUUGUUUUACAGAUUGAGCUAUAGUACAGAAAAAUCUGGAAGCAGGUACAGGUAACCUUGGACUUGUGAUUGGAAUGAAAAAUAUUGAGGCAGAUGCAUUUAACCUUAGGAUGCUGGAGUCUGAACAUUAUGUGAGUAGUCAAGGUUUAUAUGUAAAUAUGAGCCUCAUUUACUUGUUACUUGGAAAAUGUGUCUUGAUAGAUAUAAGUGGAUUAUGGUGUAAUUUUUAACCCACUGCUUUACAGAUUGGGCUCCAGUGUAAGAAAAAUUUAGCAACAGAGGAAUACAUGUUCAUGGAUAUGAGAUUCUUAAGCUCGCUUUUCUUUUUUUUUUUUUUACAGGUCUGGUUUGGUAAAUGUCUGCCCACUAUGGAAUUUCAGCCUUGGGUUGCUUAGGAUCCUGUUUCAUAUGAGUGGAUAGGAAAACAAAUUAUGCUACUGUUCAUCAGUUUGCAUCUGUUUUACAGAUUGGGCACCAGUUUAGGAAAAGUUACCCUUAGACUACCGGAUCUUGUGAUUAACAUGUGAGUAGAUGAACAAAUAUGCAUGGGAUGAACAAUUUCCCUCCUUAUCAAUGCACAUUUGUUUUUUCAGUUUGGCCCUCUGUAUAAGAAUUCUAGCAGUAUAUACAGGUAACCAUGGACUGCUGGUGUUUCAGAUCACUGAGAGUAGUGGAAUAUCAAUGCAUGCAUGUAUACAUUCUUUAGCCUCGCCAUUUGAAACAUUUGUUUUUACAGGUUUCCCAAUUAUUGUUUUGGUAUUUCUGGAUCUACUUGGGAUCUGGUAUCAUUUGGAAAUAUGAGUGUAGGCAAGUUCAUGGUAUGGUAUUCUUCAGCCCAAGUAUCUUUGUUCAAGAUUGGGCUUCAGUAUAGGAAAUAGCUAAAAGCAUCUGGAGUAAACCUUGAACUGCUGAAGCUUGUGAUCAGCAUGUGAGUAGUGUUAGAUCUACAUGGAUAAGAGAUUCUUCAGCAUGACUGACAUGUAUGGACAAAUGUCUGCCUACUAUGGUACCUUCACCUUUGUUAGGUUACUUUGGAUCCUAUUUCUUGUAGAUAUAAAUAGAUGGAGAAAUGUAUUUUGGUUCUAUUAUUUAACCCGAGCAUCUUUGUUUUACAGGUUAGGCCCAGUGUGGGAAUUCUAGCAGAAGAUCUAGGUAACCUUGGACUUCGAGAGCAUGUGAUCAGUAUCUGAGUAGUGGAAUAGAUCUGCAUGUAUAAGAUUCUGAAACCUGACAUGUUUGUUUUUUUUUUUGUUACAGGUUUUGUUUUGCUUUGCAAAUGUCUGCCUACUGGAGAGCCCUGGCAAGUUAUUCGGGAUCCUGUUUCUUUUGUAGGUAUGAGUGGGCAAGUUUGUUUGCCGUUUUCAUUCUUCAGGCCAGGUGUCUUUGUUUUACAGGUUGAGGUUUGGUGUAGAAGCUGAUGCAGGCAACCUUGGACUGCUGGAGCUUGUGAUUGGUUUUCUAUCUGCUGCUGUGGUACUUCUGCCUUGGCAUAUUUGGAAUCCUUAUCCUUUUGGUGGGUAUGAGUGGACUGCUAGAGCUUUGUGAUCAGUAUGUGAGAAGAGGUAAGGAAAAUAUGGAUAAAAAGAUUAUAGUCAGCCAUUUUGCUUUUUUAGGCUUGACCUUUGUUUGGAAAUAAUUCUACCAUAGAUGAUCUUCAUGGGUGGAACAAAAUGUUUUUUUUUUCAUCCUUACAGAUAAGUGGCUAUGCUGCUACAUGUGGUUAAAAUUGGUUGAUAGGGUAGAUGGAUAGACCAAUUUUUAAAUAUUCUUAAUGAUGUCCUUCAACCUUUUUUGUUUUUGUUUUACAGGAUGGGCUUCACCAUGGGAAUAUGUUUUUGUUGACUACAGUCUUGCUCCAAGCAAGUGACGACUAGCCAUAUACAUGUUUCUACUUACUAUGCAACAAAUUAGAUAUUUGUGGAGUGUUUGAGAUCAACCUGUCCAUCUUUGUUUUUCAGGUUUGUCCCUGGAAUAGAAAAUGUUUAGCCGCAGGUGAUGCUUAGACUGCUGGAGCUUGUAAGUAAGGAAUAGGCUGAUGAAUCUCUUAAUCCAUACAUAACUGAGCAUCUGUUUUUUACAGGGUUUCCUGGAUUGCAAAAUAUAUGGCCUCAGUGGUACCUCAGCCUUGGCAUGUUAUUUAGGAUCCUAAUUUAUUUGGUAGGUAUAAGUGUAUGGCCCAUUUUAUCAUGACUGUCAUUCCUUAGCUCUUUGUAUCUUUUGGUUUACAGAUUCGGCUCUGAUCUAAAAAAACUAGAAGCAGAUGCAGGUACCCUUGGAAUACUGGAGCUUAUUAGUAAGUAGAUUAAUAGAUGUAUGUGGAUAAGGAAAAUGUCCUCAGCCUGCACAGCUAUUUGCCAAACCAGGAAAAUCUGUAAAAACAAACAUUUGUGUUAUUUAAUGAAGCCUUGACAGGUUACUUGGCAUCCUAUUUCUUAACUUUGCAAUGGAGUUUGUGAUCUUAAUAUGAGUAGUCAAAAAGAGCUGAAUUGAUAACGAGUCUAAAGCAAAUGUUGCUGUGGUGCUUCCACCUUGGUAUGUUCCUUGGGAUUCUGUGUCUUGUGGAUGUAACAAAUUAUGAUGUAAAUUUUCAGCAUGAACCUUUGUUUUACAGGUUGGGUCUUGGUGUAGGGAAAAUCUAGAAGCAGAUCCCUUGGACUGCUGGAGCAGUAUGUGAGUAGAGAAAUACAUGUGCAUAAGGAGAGAUUGUUGAUCCCCAGUAUUUGUUUUUCAGGUUGACCCAGUAUUCGAAUUCUAGCAGCAGAUAAAGGUAAUCGUGGACUGCUGGUGUUCCAGAUCGGUAAGUAGAGGAAUAGAAAUGCAUGUUUAAAGACAUUCUUUAGCCUGGCCAAAUGUAACAUUUGUUUUUACAGGCUUCCCUGGUCAAGCAGUUAUUGUGGUAUUUGUGGAUCUACUUUGUAUCAUGGUUUGGGGGGGUAGUAUGUGUAGAUGGACAAGUUAACUAUGGUGUUCUUUAGCCUGAGCAUCUUUUGUGUUACAGGUUGGGCUUUGUUGUAGGAAGUCUAUAAGCAGAUGCAGUAAAAAUUGGACAGCUAGUGCUUGUGCUCAGCAUUUCAGUAGUGGUAUAGAUCUGCAUGAAUAUGAUUCUUCAGACUGGCAUGUUUACAUAUUUUCCUGGUUUGACAAAUUUCUGCCUGCUGUGGUACUUUGGCCUUGUCCGGUUACUUGGCAGCAGAUGCAUGUUACUUCUAAAUCUUGUGAUCAUUGGUAUGUAAGUAGUGGAAUAGAUCUGCAUAGAUGGGUCUGUUUACACUGGAGAAGAGGCGCUUAAGAGGUGACAUGAUAACUAUGUAUAAAUAU